CCUACGGGCGGCAGCAGUGAGGAAUAGUGGUCAAUGGACGAGAGUCUGAACCAGCCAAGUAGCGUGAAGGAUGACUGCCCUAUGGGGUGUAAACUUCGUUUAUAAAGGAAUAAAACGAGGCACGUGUGCCUUUUUGCAUGUACUUUAUGAAUAAGGAUCGGCUAACGCCGUGCCAGCAGCCUCGGUAAUACGGAGGAUCCGAGCGUUAUCCGGAUUUAUUGGGUUUAAAGGGAGCGUAGAUGGGUUGUUAAGUCAGUUGUGAAAGUUUGCGGCUCAACCGUAAAAUUGCAAUUGAUACUGGCAGUCUUGCGUACAGUUGCGGUCGGCGUACUUCGUGGUGUAGCGGUGACAUUCU
rnacentral:rRNA from 1 species